rnacentral:rRNA from 1 species
AACGCUGGCGGUGCGCCUUAUGCAUGCAAGUCGAGCGAAGCUUUUCAGUAGUUUACUACAGAAAAUGACUGAGCGGCGAACGGGUGAGUAACGCGUGAGCAACCUACCUUAGUUACUGGGAUAGCCCGAGGAAACUCGGAUUAAUACCGGAUAUUCUUAUUUAAUCACAUGAUUUUUUAAGGAAAGGUCAGCCGAACUAAGAUGGGCUCGCGUUCUAUCAGCUAGUUGGUAGGGUAAUGGCCUACCAAGGCUACGACGGAUAGCUGGUCUGAGAGGACGAUCAGCCACACUGGGACUGAGACACGGCCCAGACUCCUACGGGAGGCUGCAGCAGGGAAUAUUGCGCAAUGAGCGAAAGCUUGACGCAGCGACACCGCGUGUGGGAUGACGGAUCUAGGUUUGUAAACCACUUUCAGGAGGGAAGAAAAUGACGGUACCUCCACAAGAAGCCCCGGCCAA